AUUUCAUUCUGUGUCCGCCAUAGCUCUAUAAUAUCAGCAGUAGACAGAAUAUUAUUGUAUACAGGGUUGCAUAGAGAUAGGCUCAAAAAAGGCUCAAGACCAGCAAGUUCAACCUUUAACAUAUCUCGAUUUCAGCUGCUGAUCCAAAACAAACAAAUCUGAGCGAUUUCAAAUUGUGUUGGAUAAAAGGGAAAAAUUACUCCAAAUGGCAUUCUGAUUUCAAAUUGGAUAAGUAGGCG